rnacentral:lncRNA from 1 species
GGGUGAUAAGACAGCAGUAUUAAACCCUUAUAUGUCAAUAAUCGUUCUAGACCUAAAUGCAUUGAAUUCUCCAAUCAAAAGACAUAGAGUGGCAGGAUGGAUUAAGGAACAGGACUCAACUAUAUGCUGCCUCCAGGAAACGCAUCUCAGCUCCAAAGACAGCCACAGCUUAGAGUGAAGGGAUGGAAGACGAUACUACAAGCCAACGGCAAACAAAAGAGAUUGAGCGCUUUUUCCUCAGAAAUACCCUCAGAAUACUUCUCAACAUACAGCAUAGUCAACUCACUCCAAUCAAUUGGUGCUGACCCAACAAAUGAAACCUGCCCGCCAUGUCUGGCUCGAGACAGUAAAAGCAAGAGUGUGGCCAAGAGUCACAUGCAUAAGAAUUCAUUACAACAAUACAUCAGCUCGAUUUAAUAAGACAUGCUUGAAUUACUGCUGACAAUUAUGAAAGAAUACAAAGAGUAUCUGGUGAGAAUAAUCAAAUGUUGAAUGUGUUGCCUUUGAUCAUUUGUUUGUUUUACUUUACAGCCUAAGUAAAGCUGAUUAAAAUCUACAAGUUGAUUAAAACAGUCUAUUUGUUUUAAAACUUGUUUAAAUAAUCUACUUGUUUUAAAAAAUAAAACAAGUCAAU